rnacentral:rRNA from 1 species
AUGGGGAAACCCAGUGUGAUUCGUCACACUAUCAUUAACUGAAUCCAUAGGUUAAUGAGGCGAACCGGGGGAACUGAAACAUCUAAGUACCCCGAGGAAAAGAAAUCAACCGAGAUUCCCCCAGUAGCGGCGAGCGAACGGGGAGCAGCCCAGAGCCUGAAUCAGUGUGUGUGUUAGUGGAAGCGUCUGGAAAGGCGCGCGAUACAGGGUGACAGCCCCGUACACAAAAAUGCACAUGCUGUGAGCUCGAUGAGUAGGGCGGGACACGUGGUAUCCUGUCUGAAUAUGGGGGGACCAUCCUCCAAGGCUAAAUACUCCUGACUGACCGAUAGUGAACCAGUACCGUGAGGGAAAGGCGAAAAGAACCCCGGCGAGGGGAGUGAAAAAGAACCUGAAACCGUGUACGUACAAGCAGUGGGAGCACAGAGCAAUCUGUGUGACUGCGUACCUUUUGUAUAAUGGGUCAGCGACUUAUAUUCUGUAGCAAGGUUAACCGAAUAGGGGAGCCGAAGGGAAACCGAGUCUUAACUGGGCGUUAAGUUGCAGGGUAUAGACCCGAAACCCGGUGAUCUAGCCAUGGGCAGGUUGAAGGUUGGGUAACACUAACUGGAGGACCGAACCGACUAAUGUUGAAAAAUUAGCGGAUGACUUGUGGCUGGGGGUGAAAGGCCAAUCAAACCGGGAGAUAGCUGGUUCUCCCCGAAAGCUAUUUAGGUAGCGCCUCGUGAAUUCAUCUCCGGGGGUAGAGCACUGUUUCGGCAAGGGGGUCAUCCCGACUUACCAACCCGAUGCAAACUGCGAAUACCGGAGAAUGUUAUCACGGGAGACACACGGCGGGUGCUAACGUCCGUCG